CAGAUACCAGAACGAGGCCUGGAACACAUCCAGAGCGACGCUUGGAACGCAUCACAUGACCCGAAGGCCCUGCAAUGCCGUAGAAACAAUGACGUAACGGAGGCCGGAAGAAGCACACACCUGUUGUGCGAAAACGGCUGUUUGCCUCUGAGCACCUCGCAUCACUUAAGUCUCCCUGACGGAAUGGAAUGACUGUAUAAUAUUUCUCUACAGUAAUGAUAAUAUAUUUUUACAUUUGGAUCAACACACAACUGACCAACAUGCCAAAUAAUUUUUUUACUGAAUGUUCAUGGCUUAAUAUCAGGAUCAAGUCGGAUUGUCACUUUUUUUCAUUUUUUAUUUAUUUUUCAAUUUUCUUUGCUAUUAUGUCUGAUCCAAAUACUCUCUUAUACGGCAGUUUAACUACAUGGAUGCACAAUGAAAUACCAGCAAAUUCUCCCCUGGAUUGGGAGUCCUAUUGGUGGGUUCCUUUAUAUGGACGGGACGGCGGUGCUGUCAUAGGAUCUGUCCUGACCGUGUGUACUUUGGCUGACUGGGGACCUUGGAGGCUACCAGGAUGGCCGGAGUAAGGAUACUUACCUUAGAUGGACUAUUGGAGAUGCUGAUGUGAAAAAUAAACUAAUUCCUCUAUGGAGUCCUGAAAUAUUCAUCUGCUGCCCGCUACAAAGAUGGAGAGGAUGGAGGAUAAAGAUAAACAGUGCGUGCGCGCUUGGAAUACAUCAGUCAUUACUAUGACUACCAGGAAGCCUGCUUCUGAUUGGCCUAGACAAUCCAACUUCCUCCUCACACUGGCACGGGCCUUUUUCCUUGCGCCUGUGCAAUGUUUCUUUACCCACGUUUGCGUGGCUAUCUGUUUAUACAACAGCGUGUUUGUACAGUGCUGAGUGUCUGCCCCAUUGCGAUAUUAAUAUUUAAUUUAGAAUCAAUUAAUCACUGUUUUUAAUAAUGCACUACACUUUUUAUGGAUCUAUAUUGAUCCUCUUAUUUAAGUUGCACCUUAUUGAAUAUUUUAUGAUGUAAUGUAAAAGGCACUAUUUAAACACCUUGAUGUAACUCACUUGUUAUGCUUGAGAAAGGUAGCGUGAUACCGCGGAAACGUCGCACUGAUUGUAUGAGGAUGGAAUAAACACUACACGUUUUUUGAAAAGACCUUCUUUGUGUGCUCCGAUCUUUUCCUAUGGAGAAACCUAACUAGUAAUUUUGAUUAUUUAUCCUGCAGUGCCAUCAUAGGGAAAACUAGGGUCCAGCUCUUCCAAGACCUCUAGGAUGUAUAUACCUUGCCUGACGAAGGGUCCGGUUUGGACCAGAAACGCGUAGCUUAUGUAUUCACAAUAAAGCCUCUGAAAGGAAUACGGAUGUGUUCCUGAUUUUCUUAAUAUCCAGAGUUCCAGCGCCAAAAUUCGUCCACAUUCAUAUGGUUACCAUACCACACUUUUUAGGUGGUGUGCCCUGAGCGCAACGCCCUCC